CCGUGGGCCUCCAGCACCACAGUCUCCUCGCUCUCCAGACGCAGGAUGUUGGGGGUGAUCAUGGAAUACCUGCCGGAGGGGAGCAUGGGGCGUGGAGCUGUCAUCCCCGGAAGCCCGAGCUGCCAGCUCUUCCCCAGGGGCCUGCAUGCCUGGCAUAAGUAACCCGGGGCCAUGUUCUUCAGCUACAGAGACACAACAACCUCCUGCCCGGGCCUCCCUCCGGGUCAUGGCCAUCUGGUGAUCAGGGACCUUUCCCUGUUACAUCCACUUGGUAGCAGAUGAAAGCAGUGGGCAGAGAGCCACCUCUCGCCCCCAACUCCAGAUAUCUGGUCCUGGCCCUCAGUCUACUUUUAAGCAUGCAUUUAUUCACCAGACUCUUCCUGUGAGUCCAUUUCUGUGCUAGCAUCUCAUGUUCCACUUCCAGAAUCUUCCAUGUUGGCAUGGGGCUGGGGGCCGGGGACAGAGUCCAGCAUCAAUGCUCCUAGCCCCAUGGAGUGUUUUCUCCAGUGGAGAAGGACUCAGCUUCUUGGAGAGUCAGGGAAGGUUUCUUGGAGGAGGGGACAUUUCAACUGGGCUUUGAAGUGUGUGUAGGAGUUCACUAUUCAAGGACAAUGUUUUCUAGGGCAAGGAGAGCCUGGAAUUCCCUUCACCUAAUCUCGUCAAGAGGCCUGAGUGGCUAAAAAGUCAUAAUUGAGGAAAGUCCCAUGGCUAGCUUUUGUAUUACAUCAAUGCCUUCUUAGGGGAAGGAGGUUCAAGAAGGAUGGGACAUGUGUAUACCUAUGGCUGAUUCAUGUUUAUGUAUGGCAGAAACCAACACAACAUUGUAAAGCAAUUACCUUCCAAUUAAAAAAAAUUUAAAAACA